AACGCGAAGAACCUUACCAGGGUUUGACAUGCAUGUGCACCAUCCAGAGAUGGAUGUCCCUUCGGGGCGCAUGCACAGGUGCUGCAUGGCUGUCGUCAGCUCGUGUCGUGAGAUGUUGGGUUAAGUCCCGCAACGAGCGCAACCCUUAUUGCCAGUUGCCACCGGGUUAUGCCGAGCACUCUGGCGAAACCGCACAGGAUAACUGUGAGGAAGGUGGGGAUGACGUCAAGUCCUCAUGGCCUUUAUGUCCAGGGCUACACACGUGCUACAAUGGUCGGUACAAACCGUCGCAAACCCGCGAGGGGGAGCUAACCGGAAAAAGCCGGCCUCAGUUCGGAUUGGAGUCUGCAACCCGACUCCAUGAAGCUGGAAUCGCUAGUAAUCGCGGAUCAGAACGCCGCGGUGAAUACGUUCCCGGGCCUUGUACACACCGGUACUA
rnacentral:rRNA from 1 species